AUCUAACAACAAAUUAAAAAUAAAGAAAGUGGAGAAAAAUGCUAUUAUCAACUCCAGGAAGCAUCAGAAAUUUAUGUUAUACCCAAUUUUCAAAUAUGAAAUAUCUUCUUUUUGCUCACAGUGCCAUUAGUCAGUAGAAUUGCAUCAAGACAAAGCAAGCAGCCACAUGUCAAAAAUCAUCCGUUAAUUUACUGGAAAAAAUAGAACAAGAAAUGUGUAUCAAAACCAUAACCUUCGCUCAGAUCCUUACUAAAUCUCCUGAUUUAUCACCCAUGGAUUUUUGUGCUUUUGGAUGGUUAAAAUACAGAUUGUCCAAAUGUCAACCUACAACCUUCCUUAGACUUUGGAAAGGUGUUCAAGAGGAAUGGGAUGAAAUACCUCCUCCAAUACUACAAAAUGCUUUAUUGUCUUGGAAAUUGCAGUGUAAAAAUAUUGUGAAGAAUAAAGGUUAUCAAACAGAACAUUUAAAACACAAAAAUUUUAGGUAAAAUCCUCAUUGUGUGUGCUCAUACAACAUAACUUUUGUGAAUUCAUGCAAGAUGAAAAAGGCUUUGUAGAAUAUACAGUAAAGAAAGAAAACGUGUUGCAUCUCCUUCAUUAUGAACGCUACGCAUAUUGUGCACAACUAUUAUAUGGUGAUCCAGCUGAUUUACUGGUUGAAGAAAUCCUUAACCAUGGCAGACUAAUUAUGAGUGAAGCUAUACAGAAAGUUGUGGAACGAUUACAAGAUGCAAAAGAUGCAACUGGAGUUGGUAAGAG